rnacentral:lncRNA from 1 species
CUUGUUUGAAUACACCUUAUCGCUAUUUGUCCGCCAUUGCUGGAAAUCACACAGGUUCCCGUAAAAUUUUGACGUCAUAAAACAAAAUAUCUGACGCCACAAUGGAAAAGUGAUUGUUGUUGACGUCAAAAGUUCAAGCGGCCGGGUCAGCCGGGAUUAGCGAUAAGGUGUAUUGUUUUACAUUGUCUAAUCAGGGCCUUUUAUAGCUGACUAUGUGGUAUGGGCUUUGCUCAUUGUUGAAGCCCGUACGGUUACCUAUAGUUGUUUAUGUUUGUGUCAUUUUGGUCUUUUGUGGAUAGUUGUCUCAUUGGCAAUAAUACCACAUCUUCUUUUUUAUAUUGUA